GAUGAAGAACGCAGCGAAAUGCGAUAAGUAAUGUGAAUUGCAGAAUUCAGUGAAUCAUCGAAUCUUUGAACGCACAUUGCGCCCGUCAGUAUUCUGGCGGGCAUGCCUGUUCGAGCGUCAUUACGCCCCUCAAGUCCCCUGUGGACUUGGUGUUGGGGAUCGGCGAGGCUGGUUUUCCAGCACAACCGUCCCUUAAAUUAAUUGGCGGUCUCGCCGUGGCCCUCCUCUGCGCAGUAGUAAAACACUCGCAACAGGAGCCCGGCGCGGUCCACUGCCGUAAAACCCCCCAACUUUUUAUAGUUGACCUCGAAUCAGGUAGGACUACCCGCUGAACUUAAGCAUAUCAAUAAGCGGAGGA
rnacentral:misc_RNA from 1 species